CAAGCCAGGUGGCCGCGGACGACCCGCGUCGCGCCGCGCUCCGACGCCCGCGAGGCGCCGUUCGAGGAAAGUCCGGACACCGCAGAGCAGGGCGCUGGCUAACGGCCAGCCGGGGAAACCCGAGGGAAAGCGCAACAGAGAGCAGACCGCCAGCGGCCUCUUCGGAGGUGCGGGCAAGGGUGAAACGGUGAGGUAAGAGCUCACCAGCGGUCCUGGUGACAGGCCGGCUCGGCAAGCCCCGCCCGGUGCAAGGCCAAAUAGGGGGGCGUUCGAGGGUCGCUCGCCCGAGCCCCCGGGUCUCGGCCGCACGAGCCGUCCGGUGACGGACGGCCUAGAUGGAUGGCCACCCACGACAGGAUCCGGCUUACGGCUUGCUGA
rnacentral:RNase_P_RNA from 1 species